rnacentral:misc_RNA from 1 species
GAUGAAGAACGUAGCGAAAUGCGAUAAGUAAUGUGAAUUGCAGAAUUCAGUGAAUCAUCGAGUCUUUGAACGCACAUUGCGCCCCCUGGUAUUCCGGGGGGCAUGCCUGUCCGAGCGUCAUUGCUGCCCUCAAGCACGGCUUGUGUGUUGGGCCGUCGUCCCCCUCCUAGGGGACGGGCCCGGAAGGCAGCGGCGGCACCGCGUCCGGUCCUCGAGCGUAUGGGGCUUCGUCACCCGCUCCGUAGGCCCGGCCGGCGCUUGCCGACGACCAUCAAUCUCUUUCUCCAGGUUGACCUCGGAUCAGGUAGGGAUACCCGCUGAACUUAAGCAUAUCAAUAAGCGGAGGA